UACGUAGGGGGCGAGCGUUGUCCGGAGUUACUGGGCGUAAAGCGCGCGCAGGCGGUCCUUUAAGUCUGAUGUGAAAGCCCACGGCUCAACCGUGGAGGGUCAUUGGAAACUGGGGGACUUGAGUACAGAAGAGGAAAGCGGAAUUCCACGUGUAGCGGUGAAAUGCGUAGAGAUGUGGAGGAACACCAGUGGCGAAGGCGGCUUUCUGGUCUGUAACUGACGCUGAGGCGCGAAAGCGUGGGGAGCAAACAGG
rnacentral:rRNA from 1 species